GGGAGCCUGCGAAAAGCGUCGGGUAGUCGGCAAACAGACUGUGUACCGGAGGUAUCUGAAUGGGGGAACCCAGCCAUCAUAAGAUGGUUAUCUUGUACUGAAUACAUAGGUGCAAGCGGCGAACCAGGGGAACUGAAACAUCUAAGUACCCGGAGGAAAAGAAAUCAACCGAGAUUCCCUUAGUAGUGGCGAGCGAACGGGGAUCAGCCCUUAAGUUGUAUUGAGAUGAGCGGAACACUCUGGAAAGGGUGGCCAUAGUGGGUGAUAGCCCUGUACGCGAAAAUCCCUUUGCAAUGAAAUCGAGUAGGACGGGGCACGAGACACCUUGUCUGAAUAGGGGGGGACCAUCCGCCAAGGCUAAAUACUACUGACUGACCGAUAGUGAACCAGUACCGCGAGGGACAGGCGAAACGAACCGCGGAGGGCGGAGGGAA
rnacentral:rRNA from 1 species